AGGUGGGUCCGGCGCGGCGGAGACCUCCGAAUCCCGUCAGGUCCGAGAGGAAGCAGCGGUAAGGGGAAUCCUUCGGGUGCCGCCGGGGUGCUGACCUGA
rnacentral:SRP_RNA from 1 species